GACGAACCGUGCGAACGUUAUUCGGAAUCACUGGGCUUAAAGCGCGUGUAGGCGGAUCGCCGCGUCGGCUGCUGAAAUCCCCCGGCUCAACCGGGGAACGGGCACCGAUACGGGCGGUCUCGAGGGGGGUAGGGGGGUCUGGAACUUCCGGUGGAGCGGUGAAAUGCGUUGAGAUCGGAAGGAACGCCCGUGGCGAAAGCGAGGCCCUGGACCCUUACUGACGCUAAGACGCGAAAGCCAGGGGAGCGAACGGG
rnacentral:rRNA from 1 species